rnacentral:rRNA from 1 species
GACGAACGCUGGCGGCGUGCUUAACACAUGCAAGUCGAACGGAAAGGCCCUGCUUUUGUGGGGUGCUCGAGUGGCGAACGGGUGAGUAACACGUGAGUAACCUGCCCUUGACUUUGGGAUAACUUCAGGAAACUGGGGCUAAUACCGGAUAGGAGCUCCUGCUGCAUGGUGGGGGUUGGAAAGUUUCGGCGGUUGGGGAUGGAUUCGCGGCUUAUCAGCUUGUUGGUGGGGUAGUGGCUUACCAAGGCUUUGACGGGUAGCCGGCAUGAGAGGGUGACCGGCCACAAGAGGCCUGAGGUAGGGACCAGACUGCUACGGGGGGCAGCAGGGGGGAGUAUGGCACAGUAGGCGGAAGCGUGAGGCAGCAACGCCGGGUGCGGGAUGACGGCUUUCGGGUUGUAAACCGCUUUCGCCUGUGACGAAGCGUGAGUGACGGUAAUGGGUAAAGAAGCACCGGCUAACUACGUG